UCCAUACUCACGGAGUCUCAUCACCGCCCCAGGAGGUGAUUCCAGGAAGCUCUGUGAGGGCGUGAAAUGAGACAGGGCUCGCAGAAGGACCAGCAGAGGGUUCUCUUGAGGAACCCAGCAGGGCAAAGCUUCAAGUGCUUCACAAGUAUCCCUUCGCUGACUCUCCAUGACAGCCCCACGAGACAAGUGUUGUUAUCCCUGCUCUACAGAUGGAGAAACUGAGGCGUGGAGGAAUGGCGAACAACUCACACAAGAUCCUACCGUAAGUCAGUGGCAGAGCAGGAUUCAAACCCAGAAAGUCUACGCUGGUCGUGAGCGCUUCACCACCCUUGCCCGCCCAUUGUGUUUUCUCUCCUGUCGGGUCUUCCAUAUAGAUUCAGCCGCCUAUUUCCUUCAGGUCUCAGCUUGCGGACCACCUCCUCCAAGAAGCGACCGUGAGCACCUCUCCUACUAGUACCUUUGGCAGAGAUCUGUUUGUUUUCCUCAUAGCACUUAACAGUUUGUAAUAAUUUUCUCUGUUGCUUUACUUACUUACCAUCUGCGACUAUAAGCUUCAUGAGGACAGGGGCCCAUCUGUCUUGUUCACUUUGAAUUCCUACUUCGUAUCUCAGGGACUGGCUCCGUGUAGGAGCUUAAUAAAUAGUAUGUGCCCCUGGAGAGGAGUUGAAUAAUUAAAUAAAUGAACCCAACAUACAAAAUA